CUCCAUUUCGUUUCUAUACAAGUUUCGGUUGGUGCGUCGUCGGUUGCGUCCCCCCCGUCUUUUCCGGGCAAUCGCAUGCCGCAAGUUUCCCCAUUCGUGUGGUUUACCCGGCGUGCGCGCGCGCGUGCUCAUCUUCCUCCUUUAUGUUUGGAUUGGAAGUGGAAUAGAGGCGAUUCGAUUUUGCAUUCCGUUUAUUGUUUGCCUAGAGCGCGUCGGUUUAACUGGAUCUGCCAGCCAGUAGAUUCACAGAUUCAUCGUGCUAUUGCGUUCUGCGCGGAGAUUUUGGGGGUAGGUUUUCAAUGGGGAAAUCACCUGCUCCUCACGGAUCCAAGCCUUAUUAAUGGAACAGUUGGUUGAUUCUAGUUCUCAACGAAUUAGUGGUGGUUGUCUCUUGAUUUGGUAACGACCUCACCCUUGGUUUGGUAGAGUUGUUUGUGUCUAUGCCAGGAGGGGAACAUGGAGUAAAUCACUCAAUUCAUACUGCAUCUUCAUGCUUGGCAGUAAUUUAUUUCAAACUACUCGUCAAAUUUGGGAACUCAUGACCCUGGAACAGUAAUGUGUAUCACACAUCACCAUCUUGUUAGCCUAACAGGGUAGAGCUGAAGUUUAAGCCUGCAUUUCCAAUUGUUACUCUUAACGGGAUUGUUGUACCAAUUUAGCAUGCUUCCCUGGAGUAAGCUAUAAUAAUAAAAGAAAUUUGACACAUUGCUGUACUACUUUAUUUUUCUCAAAUUACCAUGUCGCUUUCUUGCCGCUUUGCCAGCCAUUCACGAGAUAUGCAUUGGACCUGGUCCUGGCAUGUUACAUGUGCCUUCUCUAUAUUAUUGAUAAUCACCACACGUAACAUGUAUCUACUGUAGACGUGUGAGCUAUCUGCACACUUUACAGUUAUGCAAUGCACAUCGUCGUGUUAUGAUUCCAUUGUUAUGGUGAUUAUUUGCUUAAGCUGAAAUACAUGUGCACUGGGAGCGUCCAAUUGCUUGUGCUGCGUGCUGAUGAUGGAAAGUUUUCCCCUCAAUUUCUAACCAUCAAACUGUUUCCUUGCAGUGGCCAUGUUGAGAACUAUACGAGUGACUACACCGUACAGGUGUUGAUAGGUUACUGUGUUGUGUACAUUUUCAUGCAGACCUUCAUGAUCCCAGGGACAAUAUUCAUGUCAUUGCUUGCUGGUGCUCUAUUCGGGCAACUCCAGGGCGUGGCUCUGGUUGUCUUUGCUGCCUCCGCUGGUGCUUCUUCAUGCUAUUUCCUGUCAAAACUGAUUGGAAAACCGCUGGUGUUCGUGCUGUGGCCAGACAAGCUCAUGUUUUUCCGGAAGCAGGUAAUAAGUUCAGCACCAACAUUAGUGGAUGCGGGUUUUAUUUCAACACUAUGUAGCGUAAUAACAUCUUAAAUUUCUGUGGGGAUACUUAAAAAUAUCUUGAAUCGCUCUACUCUUUGAUUUAAGAUCCUUCAGGAUUGUGUAGUAACUCAUAACUGAAUUGGGUGAUUUGUCUUCAUUUCCAGGUUGCCAAAAGAAGAGAAAAGCUGUUGAAUUACAUGCUUUUCCUGAGGGUCACCCCAACAUUGCCAAAUACCUUCAUCAACUUAGCAUCUCACAUUGUUAAUGUGCCCUUCCAUACCUUCUUAUUGGCAACUCUUAUCGGUCUCAUCCCAGCAGCCUACGUGACCGUGAGGGUAAGUUUUCAGGUUCACAUAUGAUGCCUACUAAUAUACUGCAUUUAGUGUGUAUACAUUGUUUGUUCCAAUUUAAAUCUCACUGCCUGGUUCAUUUCAUGUGUUCAGGCUGGGAUUGCUCUGGGAGAGCUAACAUCGCUCAGCGACCUGUACGACACCCAGUCAGUAGCUCUGCUGUUCUUGAUCGGCGUCGUCUCAGUCACACCAGCAUUGCCGAGGAAGGACGAGGUUCAAGAAAAGGCACCAGAAAUCGCAGCAGGCGCCUCAUGAACACCAAAGAGGAGCCACCUAGCCACCUAUACAUACCAAGGCACAGCAUGCGGCGGCUUCAUUGGAUUUGGGCCUACAGGCCUUGUGAGGCGGAUGACACAUGGUUUGCUUGUUCACAUGACAACACAGCACCACGGCGGGACCUUGGACCCUAAGUCCGCCCAUCACCCGCCUGCCGGAGAUCUGCGUCGCCAUGGGAACACUGUAUAUUCAUGUCAUUUUCAUGCAGACCUUCAUGAUCCCAGGGACAAUAUUCAUGUCAUUGCUUGCUGGUGCCCUAUUCGGGCAACUCCGGGGCGUGGCUCU
rnacentral:lncRNA from 1 species